rnacentral:snRNA from 1 species
GGAUGUGAAGUGGAUCUGGCAGUCACAUCUUUCACCGCAUUGUUUGCCAGGGCCGAUUUGGCUGAUUGGGUUGGGUGGAUGGGCGUCUCCUCCCUCCCUCCCUACUCCAUGUGUAUCCCUCCCAAAGCUGCAUGCUUGGUCAAAGAGAAUGACCUUCCUCAAUAGAGGCAAACUGUUCAUCAGUCCAAGGGUAUGUGGGAGCUGUUCUCCCUCGCCAGAACCUCCAAACAAGCUCAAGGACCCUUUGUAGGAGAACGUAGAGUGGUCAAGAUUCCAAGUGUGCAGACGCAUCCAAGUGAGGCACUGCAUGGGGCAGUCUGCCAUUGUU